UGGGAAGGUGGAUGGAACCCUAAUUUAAUAGAAUGGAAGGAGGGUGGGACUCGAACAACUAUUUGAUCCGAAAUACAAGCUUUUGAAAAAGCCCAAAACAACAACAUCAACACCACUGCCCAACACCACCUCCAACGCUCUGCAACCUCUCUGCAAUGGCUGACGAGGAACCUGUUGAUCAGAAGAGAUAUCUUGAAGAGUCUUGCAAACCAAAAUGUG